AUCCAGAUGACGAGUCCCAAGUAGGACGAUGUGUGCAUCUUGGAU
rnacentral:hammerhead_ribozyme from 1 species